rnacentral:lncRNA from 1 species
AAAAGGAGGUGUUACGCCAAAGAUAUGUACAGACGUCUCCAUAUCGAUACGUGAGAUUUUAAUUGUUGGAUCGUGACUCACGACACCUAUGAACCUAGAGCUUUGAUACUAACUUGUUACAACCCAGUUUACCCUCCAUAAGACAUCGUGAUGGCACCUAGUCUUUACGACUCGGUAAGCCUAAUACUGCAGAAAAAGAACAAUGAAAACGUAAACAUAAAUCUAAACCACUAACAUCAACGAUAAUGAAGUAAUGGAUAGACA